UCUUAAGGAUGAGCAAAGAAAGUGGUUUCUUGAGACAGGGUCUAUUUCUGCUGAAGGUGCUGUGAA
rnacentral:pre_miRNA from 1 species